AGCUAUACUCAGCAACUUGCUGUUUCUCAUACUUGUUAAUUUUCUCCCCAUACCAGAUCUCUGCUCAUCCUGCCAGGAGACCCCAGACUGGUGCCUCUUCCAGGAAGAGUCCCUUAGCUGCAGGGACAAUAGUGAUGAAGAUGGUGAAUCUUGGAAAGGACUUAGGAGCCAAAGAAUGAGCCAGGCGUGGGUUUGUGCCCAACACCAUGUGUCCUGGCUGGAGCAUCCAGGCCGAAGCUUGAUUUACAUUCAGGCUGCAUCCCUGAUUGGUGAAGCUGGACUUGCUUGUCGUCCUGAUGAGUCUGCCAUUCUACAUGAGGACGUACGAAAAGAAGCCUACGGCCUCAAGUGAGGACCACCUCAAAGUCAUGGCAGCCUUUUUGAACCUCGCACUUGUCCAUCGUGUCUAGCAGGCAGAAGAAUCAGUUGUCAGCAUGGCAUACCCACCGCAGCAGCAUACCCUCCAGAGUCUCUAGGAA
rnacentral:lncRNA from 1 species